CAAGGGGGAACUGAACUCAACCAGGAAGCUAGGUAGUGCCACCUCUGCUGAUUCAUGUUUGAUAUCCAAAUUCUACUGAACUGGACUGCUGGUGUAUCUGUGAAGUGUUUCUGAGUGGAUUGAGCUGUUGCCAUUGGCCUGUGAACUGAACUGCUGAUUUCCAGACAACACAGAUGAGAGUUGCUUCAAAGAACCCUUCCUAAACAGGUGACAGUUCAUGAAAGCUCCAUUCGUGGACGUCUACGCACAACUUGAUGGUCACUCAACAGAGCCAAGAAUCUCCUCUUGACAGUGCUGUUGGUUAGUCUCAUCACUCAACAGUUGUUUCCUGUUCAACAAGUUGGGUAGGGGCCUUCCAG
rnacentral:lncRNA from 1 species